rnacentral:rRNA from 1 species
UCAAGUUAUUAAGGGUGCAGGGCGGAUGCCUUGGCACUAGGAGCCGAUGAAGGACGUGAUAAGCUGCGAUAAGCUUCGGGGAGUUGCACGUAAACUUUGAUCCGAAGAUUUCCGAAUGAGGAAACUCACUUAGAGUAAUGUCUAAGUAUCAUUAAGUGAAUACAUAGCUUAAUGAGGGGAACUCAGGGAACUGAAACAUCUAAGUACCUGAAGGAAGAGAAAGAAAUUCGAUUCCGUAAGUAGCGGCGAGCGAACGCGGAUUAGCCCAAACCAAUAAAGUUUUCUUUAUUGGGGUUGCGGACAUAUCAUAACGAAGAGGUAUCGUAAUUGAAGAGGUUUGGAAAGACCCACCACAGAAGGUAAUAGUCCUGUAUGUUAAACGAGAAGACUUUAGAUAUGAUCCAGAGUACCACGGGACACGUGAAACCCUGUGGGAAGCAGGAGGGACCACCCUCCAAGGCUAAAUACUACCUAGUGACCGAUAGCGUAUAGUACCGUGAGGGAAAGGUGAAAAGAACCCCGGGAGGGGAGUGAAAUAGAACCUGAAACCCUGCACUUACAAGCUGUGGAAGCACAUUUCUUGUGUGACCGCGUACUUUUUGUAGAACGGGCCAACGAGUUACGUUAAGUAGCAAGGUUAAGCACUUAAGGUGCGGAGCCGUAGCGAAAGCGAGUUUUAACUGAGCGUUCAGUUACUUGACGUAGACCCGAAACCGGGCGACCUACCCAUGAGCAGGAUGAAGCGAAAGUAAAAUUUCGUGGAGGUCCGAACCCACGAGCGUUGAAAAGCUCGGGGAUGACUUGUGGGUAGCGGUGAAAUUCCAAUCGAGCCCGGAGAUAGCUGGUUCUCCCCGAAAUAGCUUUAGGGCUAGCCUCAAGGUGAGAGAUACGGAGGUAGAGCACUGAAUGUCCUAGGGGGUAUUGCACCUACCGAAGACUAUCAAACUCCGAAUGCCGUCAUCUUAUACUUGGGAGUCAGACUGUGGGUGAUAAGAUUCAUAGUCGAAAGGGCAACAGCCCAGAUCGUCAGCUAAGGUCCCUAAAUGUAAGUUAAGUGGUAAAGGAUGUGGGAUUGCACAGACAACCAGGAUGUUGGCUUAGAAGCAGCCACUCAUUCAAAGAGUGCGUAAUAGCUCACUGGUCGAGUGAUCCUGCGCCGAAGAUUUCCGGGGCUAAAACUUACUACCGAAGCUACGGCAUCAGUAAUGAUGGGUAGGGGAGCUUCCCAUACGGGUUGAAGCAUGACCGUAAGGACAUGUGGACAGUAUGGGAGUGAGAAUGUUGGCAUGAGUAGCGAGAUGUGGGUGAGAAUCCCACAGGCCGUAAACCCAAGGUUUCCAGGGGAAGGUUCGUCCGCCCUGGGUUAGUCGGGACCUAAGCUGAGGCCGAAAGGCGUAGGUGAUGGACAACAGGUUGAUAUUCCUGUACUACCGAUAACCGUUUGAGAGAAGGGAUGACACAGUAGGAUAAGCUAAGCACACUGUUGGUUAUGUGUGCCCAAGCAUUGAGGCAGUCAAAGUAGGCAAAUCCGCUUUGAUAAUGCUGGGAUGUGAUGGGGAGCGAAAUUUAGUAGCGAAGUAGCUGAUUUCACACUGUCAAGAAAAGUCUCUAUCGAGGUUAAAGGUACCCGUACCGCAAACCGACACAGGUGGGUGAGGAGAGUAUCCUAAGGCCAGCGAGAGAACUGUUGUUAAGGAACUCGGCAAAAUGACCCCGUAACUUAGGGAUAAGGGGUGCCACCAUCAGGUGGCCGCAGAGAAUAGGCCCAAGCGACUGUUUACCAAAAACAUAGGUUUCUGCUAAGUCGCAAGACGAUGUAUAGGAGCUGACGCCUGCCCGGUGCUGGAAGGUUAAGGGGAUCUGUUAGAGCAAUCGAAGCAGUGAACUUAAGCCCCAGUAAACGGCGGCCGUAACUAUAACGGUCCUAAGGUAGCGAAAUUCCUUGUCGGGUAAGUUCCGACCCGCACGAAAGGCGUAACGAUUUGGGCACUGUCUCAACAACAGACUCGGUGAAAUUGUAAUUCCGGUGAAGAUGCCGGAUACCUGCGACAGGACGGAAAGACCCCAUGGAGCUUUACUGUAGCUUGACAUUGGGUCUUGGUACUACAUGUACAGGAUAGGUGGGAGGCUUUGAAACCAGGACGCCAGUUUUGGCGGAGCCAUCCUUGGGAUACCACCCUUGUAGUACUGGGACUCUAACCAUAGGCCAUGAAUCUGGUCUUGGGACACUGUCAGGUGGGCAGUUUGACUGGGGCGGUCGCCUCCCAAAAGGUAACGGAGGCGCUCAAAGGUUCUCUCAGUACGGUCGGAAAUCGUACGUAGAGUGUAAAGGCAAAAGAGAGCUUGAUUGCAAGACAUACAGGUCGAGCAAGGAUGAAAAUCGGACUUAGUGAUCCGGUGGUUCUGCGUGGAAGGGCCAUCGCUCAACGGAUAAAAGCUACCCUGGGGAUAACAGGCUUAUCUCCCCCAAGAGUCCACAUCGACGGGGAGGUUUGGCACCUCGAUGUCGGCUCAUCACAUCCUGGGGCUGUAGUAGGUCCCAAGGGUUGGGCUGUUCGCCCAUUAAAGUGGUACGCGAGCUGGG